AGUUAUUAAGGGCGCACGGUGGAUGCCUUGGCACUAGAAGCCGAUGAAGGACGUUACUAACGACGAUAUGCUUUGGGGAGCUGUAAGUAAGCUUUGAUCCAGAGAUUUCCGAAUGGGGAAACCCAGCAUGAGUUAUGUCAUGUUAUCGAUAUGUGAAUACAUAGCAUAUCAGAAGGCACACCCGGAGAACUGAAACAUCUUAGUACCCGGAGGAAGAGAAAGAAAAUUCGAUUCCCUUAGUAGCGGCGAGCGAAACGGGAAGAGCCCAAACCAACAAGCUUGCUUGUUGGGGUUGUAGGACACUCUAUACGGAGUUACAAAGGACGACAUUAGACGAAUCAUCUGGAAAGAUGAAUCAAAGAAGGUAAUAAUCCUGUAGUCGAAAAUGUUGUCUCUCUUGAGUGGAUCCUGAGUACGACGGAGCACGUGAAAUUCCGUCGGAAUCUGGGAGGACCAUCUCCUAAGGCUAAAUACUCUCUAGUGACCGAUAGUGAACCAGUACCGUGAGGGAAAGGUGAAAAGCACCCCGGAAGGGGAGUGAAAUAGAACCUGAAACCGUGUGCUUACAAGUAGUCAGAGCCCGUUAAUGGGUGAUGGCGUGCCUUUUGUAGAAUGAACCGGCGAGUUACGAUUUGAUGCAAGGUUAAGCAGUAAAUGUGGAGCCGUAGCGAAAGCGAGUCUGAAUAGGGCGUUUAGUAUUUGGUCGUAGACCCGAAACCAGGUGAUCUACCCUUGGUCAGGUUGAAGUUCAGGUAACACUGAAUGGAGGACCGAACCGACUUACGUUGAAAAGUGAGCGGAUGAACUGAGGGUAGCGGAGAAAUUCCAAUCGAACCUGGAGAUAGCUGGUUCUCUCCGAAAUAGCUUUAGGGCUAGCCUCAAGUGAUGAUUAUUGGAGGUAGAGCACUGUUUGGACGAGGGGCCCCUCUCGGGUUACCGAAUUCAGACAAACUCCGAAUGCCAAUUAAUUUAACUUGGGAGUCAGAACAUGGGUGAUAAGGUCCGUGUUCGAAAGGGAAACAGCCCAGACCACCAGCUAAGGUCCCAAAAUAUAUGUUAAGUGGAAAAGGAUGUGGCGUUGCCCAGACAACUAGGAUGUUGGCUUAGAAGCAGCCAUCAUUUAAAGAGUGCGUAAUAGCUCACUAGUCGAGUGACACUGCGCCGAAAAUGUACCGGGGCUAAACAUAUUACCGAAGCUGUGGAUUGUCCUUUGGACAAUGGUAGGAGAGCGUUCUAAGGGCGUUGAAGCAUGAUCGUAAGGACAUGUGGAGCGCUUAGAAGUGAGAAUGCCGGUGUGAGUAGCGAAAGACGGGUGAGAAUCCCGUCCACCGAUUGACUAAGGUUUCCAGAGGAAGGCUCGUCCGCUCUGGGUUAGUCGGGUCCUAAGCUGAGGCCGACAGGCGUAGGCGAUGGAUAACAGGUUGAUAUUCCUGUACCACCUAUAAUCGUUUUAAUCGAUGGGGGGACGCAGUAGGAUAGGCGAAGCGUGCGAUUGGAUUGCACGUCUAAGCAGUAAGGCUGAGUAUUAGGCAAAUCCGGUACUCGUUAAGGCUGAGCUGUGAUGGGGAGAAGACAUUGUGUCUUCGAGUCGUUGAUUUCACACUGCCGAGAAAAGCCUCUAGAUAGAAAAUAGGUGCCCGUACCGCAAACCGACACAGGUAGUCAAGAUGAGAAUUCUAAGGUGAGCGAGCGAACUCUCGUUAAGGAACUCGGCAAAAUGACCCCGUAACUUCGGGAGAAGGGGUGCUCUUUAGGGUUAACGCCCAGAAGAGCCGCAGUGAAUAGGCCCAAGCGACUGUUUAUCAAAAACACAGGUCUCUGCUAAACCGUAAGGUGAUGUAUAGGGGCUGACGCCUGCCCGGUGCUGGAAGGUUAAGAGGAGUGGUUAGCUUCUGCGAAGCUACGAAUCGAAGCCCCAGUAAACGGCGGCCGUAACUAUAACGGUCCUAAGGUAGCGAAAUUCCUUGUCGGGUAAGUUCCGACCCGCACGAAAGGCGUAACGAUUUGGGCACUGUCUCAACGAGAGACUCGGUGAAAUCAUAGUACCUGUGAAGAUGCAGGUUACCCGCGACAGGACGGAAAGACCCCGUGGAGCUUUACUGUAGCCUGAUAUUGAAAUUCGGCACAGCUUGUACAGGAUAGGUAGGAGCCUUUGAAACGUGAGCGCUAGCUUACGUGGAGGCGCUGGUGGGAUACUACCCUAGCUGUGUUGGCUUUCUAACCCGCACCACUUAUCGUGGUGGGAGACAGUGUCAGGCGGGCAGUUUGACUGGGGCGGUCGCCUCCUAAAAGGUAACGGAGGCGCUCAAAGGUUCCCUCAGAAUGGUUGGAAAUCAUUCAUAGAGUGUAAAGGCAUAAGGGAGCUUGACUGCGAGACCUACAAGUCGAGCAGGGUCGAAAGACGGACUUAGUGAUCCGGUGGUUCCGCAUGGAAGGGCCAUCGCUCAACGGAUAAAAGCUACCCCGGGGAUAACAGGCUUAUCUCCCCCAAGAGUUCACAUCGACGGGGAGGUUUGGCACCUCGAUGUCGGCUCAUCGCAUCCUGGGGCUGUAGUCGGUCCCAAGGGUUGGGCUGUUCGCCCAUUAAAGCGGUACGCGAGCUGGGUUCAGAACGUCGUGAGACAGUUCGGUCCCUAUCCGUCGUGGGCGUAGGAAAUUUGAGAGGAGCUGUCCUUAGUACGAGAGGACCGGGAUGGACAUACCUCUGGUGUACCAGUUGUCGUGCCAACGGCAUAGCUGGGUAGCUAUGUGUGGACGGGAUAAGUGCUGAAAGCAUCUAAGCAUGAAGCCCCCCUCAAGAUGAGAUUUCCCAACUUCGGUUAUAAGAUCCCUCAAAGAUGAUGAGGUUAAUAGGUUCGAGGUGGAAGCAUGGUGACAUGUGGAGCUGACGAAUACUAAUCGAUCGAAGACUUAAUCAA
rnacentral:rRNA from 1 species